GCAGACACAUUCCAGCCAAUCAGCAACAGACCCUCCCUCCCAGACCCUCCCUCCCAGACCCUCCCACCUCCUGGACAGCAUCCAUUGUGAAGCUGCAUUCUUAGUGAGCUGUCCAGGAGGUGGGAGGGUCUGGGAGGGAGGGUCUGCUGCUGAUUGGCUGGAAUGUGUCUG